rnacentral:rRNA from 1 species
UGAGGAAUAUUGCACAAUGGAGGAAACUCUGAUGCAGCAACGCCGCGUGGAGGAUGACGCAUUUCGGUGUGUAAACUCCUUUUAUAAGGGAAGAAAAUGACGGUACCUUAUGAAUAAGCACCGGCUAACUCCGUGCCAGCAGCCGCGGUAAUACGGAGGGUGCAAGCGUUACUCGGAAUCACUGGGCGUAAAGGACACGUAGGCGGGAUGCCAAGUCUGAUGUGAAAUCCUAUGGCUUAACCAUAGAACUGCAUUGGAAACUGGUAACCUAGAGUAUGGGAGGGGGAGAUGGAAUUAGUGGUGUAGGGGUAAAAUCCGUAGAUAUCACUAGGAAUACCGAAAGCGAAGGCGAUCUCCUGGAACAAUACUGACGCUAAGGUGUGAAAGCGUGGGGAGCAAACG